UGCAAGUCGAACGGUAACAUUUCUAGCUUGCUAGAAGAUGACGAGUGGCGGACGGGUGAGUAAUGCUUGGGAACUUGCCUUUGCGAGGGGGAUAACAGUUGGAAACGACUGCUAAUACCGCAUAAUGUCUUCGGACCAAACGGGGCUUCGGCUCCGGCGCAAAGAGAGGCCCAAGUGAGAUUAGCUAGUUGGUAAGGUAACGGCUUACCAAGGCGACGAUCUCUAGCUGUUCUGAGAGGAAGAUCAGCCACACUGGGACUGAGACACGGCCCAGACUCCUACGGGAGGCAGCAGUGGGGAAUAUUGCACAAUGGGGGAAACCCUGAUGCAGCCAUGCCGCGUGUGUGAAGAAGGCCUUCGGGUUGUAAAGCACUUUCAGUUGUGAGGAAAAGUUAGUAGUUAAUACCUGCUAGCCGUGACGUUAACAACAGAAGAAGCACCGGCUAACUCCGUGCCAGCAGCCGCGGUAAUACGGAGGGUGCGAGCGUUAAUCGGAAUUACUGGGCGUAAAGCGCACGCAGGCGGUUUGUUAAGCUAGAUGUGAAAGCCCCGGGCUCAACCUGGGAUGGUCAUUUAGAACUGGCAGACUAGAGUCUUGGAGAGGGGAGUGGAAUUCCAGGUGUAGCGGUGAAAUGCGUAGAUAUCUGGAGGAACAUCAGUGGCGAAGGCGACUCCCUGGCCAAAGACUGACGCUCAUGUGCGAAAGUGUGGGUAGCGAACAGGAUUAGAUACCCUGGUAGUCCACACCGUAAACGCUGUCUACUAGCUGUGUGUGCCUUUAAGGCGUGCGUAGCGAAGCUAACGCGCUAAGUAGACCGCCUGGGGAGUACGGCCGCAAGGUUAAACUCAAAUGAAUUGACGGGGGCCCGCACAAGCGGUGGAGCAUGUGUUUAUUCGAUGCAACGGCGAAGACCUUACCUACACUUGACAUGCUGAGAGUACUAGAGAUAGUUUCGUGCCUUCGGGACUCAGACACAGUGCUGCAUGCUGUCGUCAGCUCGUGUCGUGAAGAUGUUGGUUAAGUCCGCCACGAGCGCAACCUUGUCUAGUGCCAGCUUAGUUGGCACUCUAAGGAGACUGCCGGUGACACCGAGAAGGUGGGGACGAACGUCAGUC
rnacentral:rRNA from 1 species